rnacentral:rRNA from 1 species
CAGUCGCCACGGUAAUACGUAGGUCCCGAGCGUUGUCCGGAUUUAUUGGGCGUAAAGGGCGCGUAGGCGGACUGAUAAGUCAGGGGUGAAAUCCCAAGGCUCAACCUUGGGACUGCCUUUGAUACUGUUUGUCUUGAGUUCGAGAGAGGUAAGUGGAACUGCGAGUGUAGAGGUGAAAUUCGUAGAUAUUCGCAAGAACACCAGUGGCGAAGGCGGCUUACUGGCUCGAAACUGACGCUGAGGCGCGAAAGCGUGGGGAGCAAACAGGAUUAGAUACCCCAGUAGUCCCUGUCUCUUAUAC